AGAGUUUGAUUCUGGCUCAGGAUGAACGCUGGCGGCGUGCUUAACACAUGCAAGUCGAACGGAUGCAGCAAUGCAUUAGUGGCGGACGGGUGAGUAACGCGUGAGCAACCUGCCUUUCUCCGGGGAAUAACACUUAGAAAUAGGUGCUAAUACCGCAUAAGACCACACUACGGCAUCGUAGAGGGGUUAAAGAAAAUCGGAGGAAGAUGGGCUCGCGUCCCAUUAGCUAGUUGGUGAGGUAACGGCCCACCAAGGCGACGAUGGGUAGCCGACCUGAGAGGGUGAUCGGCCACAUUGGAACUGAGAAACGGUCCAAACUCCUACGGGAGGCAGCAGUGGGGAAUAUUGGGCAAUGGGCGCAAGCCUGACCCAGCAACGCCGCGUGAAGGAAGAAGGUUUUCGGAUUGUAAACUUCUGUCGCAGGGGAAGAAGAAUGACGGUACCCUGUAAGAAAGCCCCGGCUAACUACGUGCCAGCAGCCGCGGUAAUACGUAGGGGGCAAGCGUUAUCCGGAAUGACUGGGCGUAAAGGGAGCGUAGACGGCCUAGUAAGUUAUAUGUGAAAUCCCCGGGCUUAACCCGGGAACUGCAUAUAAAACUACUGGGCUAGAGUGUGGGAGAGGUAAGCGGAAUUCCGAGUGUAGCGGUGGAAUGCGUAGAUAUUCGGAGGAACACCAGCGGCGAAGGCGGCUUACUGGACCAUAACUGACGUUGAGGCUCGAAAGCGUGGGUAGCAAACAGGAUUAGAUACCCUGGUAGUCCACGCCCUAAACGAUGGAUACUAAACCAGGGGGGUAUAAACUCCUCCCGGGUUGAAGCUAACGCGAUAAGUAUCCCGCCUGGGGAGUACGGCCGCAAGGUUGAAACUCAAAGAAAUUGACGGGGACCCGCACAAGCAGCGGAGCAUGUGGUUUAAUUCGAACAACGCGAAGAACCUUACCAAGACUUGACAUCGAGUGCAAGCCGUGGAAACACGGUCCUCCUUCGGGACACGAAGACAGGUGGUGCAUGGUUGUCGUCAGCUCGUGUCGUGAGAUGUUCGGUUAAGUCCGGCAACGAGCGCAACCCUUACGGUAUGUUGCUAACAUUCAGUUGAGCACUCAUAUCGGACUGCCGUGGAUAACACGGAGGAAGGCGGGGAUGAUGUCAAAUCAUCAUGCCCCUUACGUCUUGGGCUACACACGUGCUACAAUGGGCGCUACAAAGAGCAGCGAGACGGUAACGUUAAGCGAAUCUCAAAAAAGCGUUCUCAGUUCGGAUUGAGGGCUGCAACCCGCCCUCAUGAAGCAGGAGUUGCUAGUAAUCCCGAAUCAGCAUGUCGGGGUGAAUGCGUUCCCGGGUCUUGUACACACCGCCCGUCACGCCAUGGGAGUCGGGGGUACCCGAAGUCGGUGAGCUAACCCAGCAAUGGGAGGCAGCCGCCUAAGGUAAAACCGAUGACUGGGGUGAAGUCGUAACAAGGUAGCCGUAUCGGAAGGUGCGGCUG
rnacentral:rRNA from 1 species